UGGAGACACACACACGUCGGCUUCAGGACAUCCAGCAUCUAAAGAGUAGGAGAACAUUGUGGGAAUGGAGAGCACUUUUGUUUUGUUGUUGUUAUUGUUAUUUCUCCUGGAAGUGGAUGAUCCUAAUAAUGUCAGCAGAGAUUAAACAGUCGUUUGGAGGUGAAAUAUUUGUUCAGGCUGGUCGAUAGGGGGCUGCUCAAGUGCUUUGGCCCACUGGGUUACUAGUAGCAGACAUGCUCCUCCAUUCAUGGCGCAGUGUUCCUCGCCUACGCGCAGUUACGACACGUCCACGCACCGUGUGGACUUGGUAUUCCCGAAAGAGUGCAUGCAUGGAAGGACUGCAGCUACCAAUAAAAAAAAAGCCAACAUUGGAGUAAAUCCUUAUUUCUGCACGCCGGAGGAAGAGGAGAGAAAAAACAAAAAAAAAAAAGAGAAGAAGCUGCGUGACAAUCAAUCUUCAAAUGAAA